AUGACAGCGGCUUACGGCUGGGGCUUCUGCGCCUCCAGACUGAAAUGGGAGAUCCCGAGUGGGCCAAGGGUGUCUGCCUGUCAAGCCUUUAACAAGUAACUCAAGCAGGGAGCUGUGUGGUUAGCCGAGGGGAGCGGAAACGUCUUGUGUUCCAGUCACCUACGCGGAACGAGUCCCGCCCCCGCGCAGAUAUGAAAACUGAAGUAUUGAGAUCAAGAAAUAUGUCAAACAGCUGCUAAACACCAGGAUCCUUGGAAGCCAUAUGCUGUAUUAGACCAGAAUGUGGCCGAGGUGAUGUUCUGUGACUUCCAAAGCCAGAUCUUAAGAGACACUGCAGCUUCUGCUUUUACCUUUUUAUGAUGCUGCCUUGAGACCGUCAUGUAAGGAAGCCAGUCUAGCCUGCUAGAGAAUAAUGGUCACAUGGGAAAGAACCAGAGCUCCCAAAGGACAUGUGAGUGAGGCCACCUUGACCUUCCAGCCCAACCGUCUUUCAGCUGAAUGUUUCUGUACCAGUGAGCCCAGGUAAAACCAGCAGAUAAACUGUCAACUCAUCCAGAGAAUCAUUUUAAAAUCAUAAUAAAUCA